AAACAAAGUGUCUGUUAUCAAAGUGUCAUAUCGUCCAAGUGAUUUGGAAGAUUUUUCUUUAUUUUUAGCGAAACAUUUAGAUUGGAGGUGCACUACGCCUUUUCUAAUUUGUGAUAGCAAAACAUUCGUCGAAAGUUUUAUCUGGAUUCGAUUCGAUUAAUCAUCAACCACAAAUGUCUAUGGAAGGAAUUGCAACCGAGCCCCUAGUAUAUGUAACGGGCUUCGGUCCGUUUGAAGGACAUGAAACGGUAAACGCUAGUUGGGAAGCCGUUCGACUAUUACCAGUGAAACACUCCGUCCGAAAUCAAUCAUUUCGCAUCAAAUUGUUAGAAGUGCCUGUAGUCUACGACGAAGUGAAUAACUAUGUCGACAGUAUAUGGAAGGAAGGUCCAAAGUUGGUUAUACAUUGUGGUGUCGACGGUGGUGCCAAAGCGAUUAAAGUUGAAAAGUGUGCCAACAAUUCGAGUUUCUGUAGGCCAGAUUGGAGCGGUAAAUGCUUAGAAACGCCAACAGUUUGCUUGAAAAACAAUGGAAGCAACUGUGAUGCACUGACCACUUGCUUUGAUGUGGAGAAAAUAGUGAAUGAAGUGAAUGCAGUUCUACCGGAACAAAUGCUUUGUUUGUCGACGAAAGUUGGGAGCUACUUGUGCGGAUACAUCUAUUUGAACUCGCUUGAUAAGAAUUGCGAACGAACGCUUUUCAUCCAUGUGCCACCAGUAGACAAACCGUAUUCGUCACAGCAAACGAGUGCAUCGAUUUUAGCAGUAUUGGAAAAGUGUGUGGAGCAACUGAUUGAUGAGGGAAAGAUGUGAUCGGCUUUAACACUAUUUUAAUAACUUGCAACAAUAAACAUCAUCAUCAUCAUCACAUUAGCAAAAUUCCUGAACUUUUCAAAUUGUAAAAAAGAAUUCAUUCGUCACAUCCAGCCACAAAUCAAAAUUUUGGCGUAAGAAAACCUGAGUCUUUUUCCGCGCACCAGCUCUCCGUUUCUUCGGCGUAUUAGUUUUCUUCCGUUUCGCCGCUCCACCGUAUCUACCUUUCGCCGGCCAAUUGCGUUUCCGCUUUGCACCCGAUCCAGAUUGCGAGCUUUCGGCCGCCAAAUUACUCCAAUUCGUUCCAUCGUCGUCGGAAUCGUAAAUUUGAUUGUUGGCAGUAUUCGACGACUGUCCCGAUCCCGUUCCAAGUGUUUCUUUGUAGUCCAUUAAAAUGCCUGAAUGAAAUAAGAUCGCAUUAUCAGAUUGUUUGUGUCGAUCGUGGUCGAUGAGACACUGUCAACUCACCCAAUUUUUCGGCCGCAUAAACACAAGUCGUCUCCAACAAUUCCUUGCCGAAUUUCUCGAAAUUAGCUUUAGUUACGUGAGGUAAUUGAAGCAUUUCUUCUUCGGUGGACGGCAAUUGUAUAGACAUUUCUUUGAUCGUCAGGAGAUUCAUGAUAUUGCCCAUGGUGCAUUGACGCUGGUUGGCAAGCUUCUGGACUAUAGCCAGCAAAUCGUUAUGGCAUCUGUCCUGCAGUUCUUUGAUCAAUUUUUCCGUAGGAGCAUCCAAUUUAAUUUCAUCCGUAUCCGUUGAUGGUGUGGCCGUCGUAACAACGUCCAAACUGGUUGCCUUCUUCUUCUUUUCAUCGGAUAUAGCAAAUUCGAUUCUAACGCCACUUUUCAUCAACUUUUCGAUGUUGGUGCCAAUUUUCAGGUAGGCAUUCGGAAUGUCCCGGCAGAAAAUCAAAUCUUCACGCAGAUACUCGUCGGUGAUCAUGCGAUGCAAUAAACGUUUGAUGUCAUUCA